rnacentral:rRNA from 1 species
UAGGGAAUCUUCGGCAAUGGACGGAAGUCUGACCGAGCAACGCCGCGUGAGUGAAGAAGGUUUUCGGAUCGUAAAGCUCUGUUGUAAGAGAAGAACGAGUGUGAGAGUGGAAAGUUCACACUGUGACGGUAUCUUACCAGAAAGGGACGGCUAACUACGUGCCAGCAGCCGCGGUAAUACGUAGGUCCCGAGCGUUGUCCGGAUUUAUUGGGCGUAAAGCGAGCGCAGGCGGUUAGAUAAGUCUGAAGUUAAAGGCUGUGGCUUAACCAUAGUACGCUUUGGAAACUGUUUAACUUGAGUGCAAGAGGGGAGAGUGGAAUUCCAUGUGUAGCGGUGAAAUGCGUAGAUAUAUGGAGGAACACCGGUGGCGAAAGCGGCUCUCUGGCUUGCAACUGACGCUGAGGCUCGAGAGCGUGGGGAGCGAACAGGAUUAGAUACCCUGGUAGUCCACGCCGUAAACGAUGAGUGCUAGGUGUUAGGCCCUUUCCGGGGCUUAGUGCCGCAGCUAACGCAUUAAGCACUCCGCCUGGGGAGUACGACCGCAAGGUUG